AACGAACGCUGGCGGCAUGCCUAACACAUGCAAGUCGAACCAUCGCUCCGGGGAUAGUGUCGCACGGGUCCGUAACCGGUGGGAACCUGCCCUUAGACUCGGAAUAACGCAGGGAAAUUUAAGCUAAUAGCGGUUAAUGUCUUGGGACCAAAGAUUUAGCGCCUGUGGAUGGGCGCGCGUUGUAUUAGCUAGGUGGUGGGGUAAAUGCCUACCAAGGCGACGAUCCAUAGCUGGUCAGAGAGGAUGAUCAGACACACUGGUAGUGAGACACGGCCCAGACUUUUAGGGGAGGCAGCAGUGGGGAAUAUUGGAAUAUGGGCGAAAGCCUGAUGCAGCAAUGCCGGGUAAGUGAUGAAGGCCUGAGGGUUGUAAAGCUCUCUUACCUAGGAUGAUAAUGACAGUACCGGGAGAAGAAGCACCGGCUAACUCCGUG
rnacentral:rRNA from 1 species